AGAGUUUGAUCCUGGCUCAGAUUGAACGCUGGCGGAAUGCUUUACACAUGCAAGUCGAGCGGCAGCGCGGGGGCAACCCUGGCGGCGAGCGGCGAACGGGUGAGUAACAUAUCGGAACGUACCCAGUCGUGGGGGAUAACUAUCCGAAAGGAUAGCUAAUACCGCAUACGACCCGAGGGUGAAAGCGGGGGGACCGAAAGGCCUCGCGCGAUUGGAGCGGCCGAUAUCGGAUUAGCUAGUUGGUGAGGUAAAGGCUCACCAAGGCGACGAUCCGUAGCUGGUCUGAGAGGACGACCAGCCACACUGGAACUGAGACACGGUCCAGACUCCUACGGGAGGCAGCAGUGGGGAAUUUUGGACAAUGGGGGCAACCCUGAUCCAGCCAUUCCGCGUGAGUGAAGAAGGCCUUCGGGUUGUAAAGCUCUUUCAGCAGGAACGAAACGGUGGUCCCUAAUACGGGCUACUAAUGACGGUACCUGAAGAAGAAGCACCGGCUAACUACGUG
rnacentral:rRNA from 1 species